rnacentral:lncRNA from 1 species
GGAGAAGAGAACAACUAUGGAAGAAAAUACCUGCAAAAUAAGAUAAAAUUAUUAAAAAUCAUAGAAAAAAAAUUAAAGUCAUAUUUUUGUAGACUUCCAAUGAAGUAUGCUUAAACUUUGUGGUUUAGUAAACUUCAUUUGAAGUCUGCAAGCUUUAGUAAACUUCUUUAGAAGUCUACACUGUCUGAUAAUUUUCAGAUCUGAAAAAAUCUAUAUAUUUUGAAAUGUGAAAAUAAUUUUAAAUCUGAAAAUACUUUACAUAAUAGAAUUUAUAAGGUAAACUAGUAGCAAAUUAAUGUAGAGAGCUUGAUCUAUAAAUUUAUUUGAAUAUAAACAUGUAAAUACAUAUUUAAAAUCUAUUAAUCUAAAACUUACAUUUUUAGAGGAGAUGAAGAAAUCCAUGAGUGAUAUUACCUACCAAAAAAAGAUAAUAUUGUGAGAAAUAAACAUAAAAAUACACAUUUAAAAGCUAUAGAUCUAAAACAUACAUUUUUUAAAGGAGAAGAUGAAAACCAUGAAUCAUAAUAUCUAAAAUGACAAGAUAAUAUUGUGAGAAAGACUUGAGAAAAUUUUAGAGAGAAAGAAGAUAAUGAGAGAGAUUUGGAAACAAUUGAGAGAAUUUUAGAGAGAAGAGAGAAAGUUUUAGAGAGAAGGGAGAGAGUUUUAAAAACUUGUGCAGCC